AGGGGUAGAGCUCAGGGGUAGAGCUUUCGACUGCAGAUCGGGAAGUCCCCGGUUCAAACACGGGUGUCCCCU
rnacentral:tRNA from 1 species